GACAGACAGGUUGUGUAGUCUAGGACAGGUCAGUUACACUAGGAGAUAGAUGGUGACAGACAGACAGGUUGUGUAGUCUAGGACAGGUCAGUUCCACUAGGAGAUAGGUGGUUACAGACAGACAGGUUGUGUAGUCUAGGACAGGUCAGUUACAGACAGGUUGUGUAGUCUAGGACAGGUCAGUUCCACUAGGAGAUAGGUGGUUACAGACAGACAGGUUGUGUAGUCUAGGACAGGUCAGUUACAGACAGGUUGUGUAGUCUAGGACAGGUCAGUUACACUAGGAGAUAGAUGGUUAUAGACAGACAGGUUGUGUAGUCUAGGACAGGUCAGUUCCACUAGGAGAUAGAUGGUUACAGACAGACAGGUCAGUUCCACUAGGAGAUAGAUGGUUACAGACAGACAGGUCAGUUCCACUAGGAGAUAGAUGGUUACAGACAGGUCAGUUCCACUAGGAGAUAGAUGGUUACAGACAGACAGGUCAGUUCCACUAGGAGAUAGAUGGUUACAGACAGACAGGUCAGUUCCACUAGGAGAUAGAUGGUUACAGACAGACAGUGUAGGAGCAAUAUAAAGAUGAUUAUAAAAUGUGAGA